rnacentral:rRNA from 1 species
GACGUAGGGCGCGAGCGUUGUCCGGAUUUAUUGGGCGUAAAGAGCUCGUAGGCGGCUUGUCGCGUCGACUGUGAAAACCCGCGGCUCAACCGCGGGCCUGCAGCCGAUACGGGCAGGCUAGAGUUCGGUAGGGGAGACUGGAAUUCCUGGUGUAGCGGUGAAAUGCGUAGAUAUGCGGAGGAACACCGAUGGCGAAGGCAAU